AAAUUUUUUAAAAAAGAGUAUCAGAAAAAAGGUAUAUGUUCCAACUUGCUGUAAUGGAAAACAUUUUAGUAAAUAGAACUGCACAGUUCUCUAAUGAUCCAGAAGAAGGUUUAAACAACGUAAAAGUUCAGAUAAACUUAUUCUUUUGAAAAUAAAAUUCGCAAAUGGAGAUAUCCAAUGCAUCACUUUUGUAAAACAGUUAUCAUCAAUUGGCGGUAAAAAUCCAGCUAAUACUAUUUUAAAAAUUUUGCUCUUACUGCCAACAAACAUUAUUUUGUCAGAAUACAGCACGAAUUGUCUAAAGAAGAAAAAAAAGUUUAAAGAGUUGACAAGUCUAUGUAACACUGUCUCUGGUAUUCUUAAUAGCUUAUUAAUGUGUUUGAUUAAUUUAAAAUUAAAAAUGAUGUUUUAAUUAAAAAAAAAAAAAAAUUUAAUUUCUUUGGCUAUGGAACAUGACAUAUCUUCAAGUAUAUUUUAUUUCAUU